rnacentral:rRNA from 1 species
UACGUAGGGGGCAAGCGUUGUCCGGAAUCAUUGGGCGUAAAGCGCGCGUAGGCGGUUCGAUAAGUCUGCUGUGAAAGUCCAAGGCUCAACCUUGGGAUGCCGGUGGAUACUGUCGAGCUCGAGUCCGGAAGAGGAGUGUGGAAUUCCUGGUGUAGCGGUGAAAUGCGCAGAUAUCAGGAGGAACACCAAUGGCGAAGGCAGCACUCUGGGACGUGACUGACGCUGAGACGCGAAAGCGUGGGGAGCAAACAGG